rnacentral:misc_RNA from 1 species
GAUGAAGAACGUAGCGAAAUGCGAUAAGUAAUGUGAAUUGCAGAAUUCAGUGAAUCAUCGAAUCUUUGAACGCACAUUGCGCCCCUUGGUAUUCCGAGGGGCAUGCCUGUUCGAGCGUCAUUACAACCCCUCAAGCUCUGCUUGGUGUUGGGGCCUGCCGCACCGGCAGCCCUUAAAAUCAGUGGCGGCGCCAUCUGGCUCUGAGCGUAGUAACUCUUCUCGCUAUGGAGUCCUGGUGGAUGCUUGCCAUCAACCCCCAAUUUUUCUAUGGUUGACCUCGGAUCAGGUAGGGAUACCCGCUGAACUUAAGCAUAUCAAUAAGCGGAGGA